CCUACGGGAGGCAGCAGUGGGGAAUAUUGCACAAUGGAGGAAACCCUGAUCCAGCGAUGCCGCGUGAAUGAAGACGGCCUUCGGGUUUGAAAGUUUUUUCUCUAUGGACGUAAAUGACGGUACCCUUACAGAAAGCUCCGUCUAACAACGUUCCAGCAGCGCCGGUAAUACGCAGGGAGCCGGCGUUGUCCGGAAUUACGGGGUGUAAAGGGAGCGUAGUUGGGGGUAUAAGUUGAAUGUGAAGUCUAUGGGCUAAACCCAUAGCUGCGUUUAAAACUGUUCUUCUUGAGUUAAGUAGAGGCAGGCGGAAUUCGUGGUGUAGCGGUGAAAUGCGUAGAUAUUAGGAGGAACACCAGUGGCGAAGGCGGCCUGCUGGGCUUUUACUGACGCUGAGGCUCGAAAGUGUGGGUAGCAAACAGGAUUAGAUACCCCGGUAGUC
rnacentral:rRNA from 1 species